GUUUAAGGCAAGUAAACUUCAUAAUUUCAUGUUAUCAGUUGUUGUUUUUUUACUAAGAGUAAAAUAAUGUUUGUUUUUUGUUUUUGUAGAUGUUAAAAGCAAGAGACAUGGGAGAUCAUCAUUCCCUUGAGAUUUUAUAAAUCAAACCAAGUUUGGAGUUGUCUGAUUUGGAGAGUCAUUAUUCUUGGUCUGCGCUCUUAGAGGCCACUGAUGAAGAGCAGGCGGUGACUGGGAUGAAUGCUGGUCAGAGAGGAGAAUAUUCUUUCCCCUAAACUGAUGCAGCGGUGGUUUUAAAGGAGGACGCUGCCCUGGAUGAUGUAGAUGUCACAUGCUGUGCUGAUGGGGUUUCUUCAUGAUUACAUCAGUUAUGCUAAAGAGAUCAUGAAAAUUGACCGUGAUGCAUGAUCUGUAUUCAUGGACUAUGAAACAAACUGUAAGUGUAUAAUUUGUUAAAAAAAAAAAAGUUAAAUGCUUUUUCUGUGUUGUUUAGUAGAAAAGUUUACACUCUGUCAUUCAUACACCUGCUCACAUUCUUUCACACACACACAUGCGUCUGUAAAGGUUAUAAUAUCAAAGUUAAUGUUGUGAUUUAUUUGUGUACUGUCAUGCCAGAAUAGUUGGAAAAAAAACUAACUAAUUGUAAAUUUAUUGUAUGUGUUUUCGUAUAUUUUUAUACAAUAUAUACAAUUGAACAAAGCCCAAUUUGAUCUUAAGUUAUAUUCAUCAAAUGUUCAAUGCUUUGUUUAUGAACUCUGUAGCUGUUAAUGCCAUCCUUUUCUGCAUUUCUUC